rnacentral:pre_miRNA from 1 species
CAGGUCUUGUUGGAGAAGCAGGGCACGUGCAAGGCUUAUUCAAUCUACCUACAUAGCUACCCAGCUAGUUAGAUCAUCUGAAUAUGCACGUACUCCCCUUCUCCAACUUGAGUUC